UACAGAGGGUGCGAGCGUUGUUCGGAAUUACUGGGCGUAAAGCGCGUGUAGGCGGCUAAGUAAGUCGGGCGUGAAAUCCCACGGCUCAACCGUGGAAGUGCACUCGAAACUGCAUAGCUAGAGUCCUGGAGAGGAAGGUGGAAUGCUUGGUGUAGAGGUGAAAUUCGUAGAUAUCAAGCGGAACACCGGUGGCGAAGGCGGCCUUCUGGACAGUGACUGACGCUGAGACGCGAAAGCGUGGGGAGCAAACAGG
rnacentral:rRNA from 1 species